GGAUCACACUGAAAAUUAAAGCCAGCCUCCCACCCACUCGCCCUCCCAAAAAAAAGACACCCCCGCCUCGAGAGUGAAUUAAGGCCAGAGUUUACAAAGCUUGGGUGGUUUUACCAAUUACAGGACUUAAAAUGAAUAAACAAGGAAAAAAGCGUCAUUCUAAGAAGGCAGCAACCUUAUGACUUUUUUUUUUUUUCUUCUGUGGUUUGCCGACUGCUCGGCACCUAUGAGAACACACAUCUAAAACGGCAGAGGGGGGGAAACAUGGUCCUAGGGGAAACCACCAGCCUGGAAGCUAGUCUGCAACUUGCUGGAGCGCAGUUCCUUCCCUGGGCCUGGCUGGAGAUGAAUCAGCUGCUGCGCCCGAGUGCGGGACAGAUGUGGGGCGGGGAGCGAGCGGGAGGCCGCCCGUUAGAGGGCCGCGGCGUCCUAGCAUUUGAAGGAUUGUUUGUUGCUGGGAUUGGUGGCUCGGAUCCGUUGGUGAACUGGAGAGGAGGGAGGAGAGACGCAGGGAGGAGGAGUCGGGGGCCGGCCGACGCUGCGACUCCGCGGUCUGAGUGGCAGGAGCCUCGUCUGGAAGCGGGCGGUUACUGGGGAGACGCUUUGUUUGCUAACUUCGAAAGCUGCUUCGGCUGCCUCGGCGGCUUUCGAAGCCACUCAACAAAACACGCCUUCGGGUCGGCUUAACCCUCCCCCUGCCCGCUUACAGAAGCCCGGCACAAAAAUGUUUCCGUCUGCGUGCUUAUCCUUGGCCACGCGGUGGCUCUCAUUAGGUACACAAAGGUAUCUUUUUCCUCGUCGAAGUGAACUUGGCUAAUUACUGCGAUUCUCAGGCAACCGGGAUGGAAACCGAGAGUUGAAGCGACUUUAUAGGCACACAUAGUUCCAUUUGGUGUCAUCUUUUGAAGCUGCCUCAAGGCCAAGAAAAGACACAGAGUUGUGUAAGUUAAGUUACUCUUCACAGCCUGCAAACCCUUCAAAGGCAAAAACUCAGAAACUUAGAAAGGAUCCUCUGAGAAGGUGGAAAAGAAGCUGAAAGACAAUUCAAUGGCAAGAGUGCUGGAAAGUGGAGAAAGAGCAUAGACCACAAAGUUGGAAGUAUUCAUGGAAGACAGAAGAGUUUGCAGGGACAAAAAAAAAGUAAGUAAUACCACAACCCCAAAUAUCAGAAGUAAGAGAGAUUUUUCCCCGGGGAAGCAUCUGGAGAGGCUCUACGCUCAGAGACAAGAAAUCUAGCACAGUGGGGACACCUGGGUGGCCCAGUCAAUUAAGCAACCGCCUUCUG